GAAACCUAUUUUAAAAUGUAUUUAAUGUUGAGGGAAGCAGGGGAGGAUUGUACUUUUUGUAGUGAGAUUUCUGUCACCAGCCAGAACCGAUCAAACUUCCAAAGGGAAUACAGCGGCCUUGAGAAGAAGAGCUAGCUUGCUGAGACUGCGCCAGCUUGCUGCAGCCCCUGAAGCCGGUACUGGGACUUCCCAUGCCAGCAUCAAAUCUCAUUCAGACCAGCAAAAAGUGGCUGAAGCAAUUUCAAGUUUGUGUUGGUGGCAACCAGACCUCCAAAGAAGUUGACAGCUACAGUUUUAGGUCUCCAACUCUAUGCCAGUGGACCCCCUAAAAUUAUCAAAGAGCAGAGGUCGAAGAAGGGCAGAGGCUUUGAAAGCAUCCGACCAGCAUGAGCGCUCAAACUGAAAACCCAGCCUCACUGACGUGGCAGGAGGGAGAGUCCCAGCUGGAAAUACGUGCUGCAGCCGUCCAUCCGAGGGGACCUUACACAUGCAGAUGCUGCCCGCUGGCCAUGGCUUUCAGGGAUGUGAAUUCAAGAAGACAUAUAGGACUUCAGCAGCUCUCAUCCUUGGCAUCAGCUGGAAGAACGUUAUUGGGGCCAGUGAAAUCCUGUAAAUUCAUUGUGGAUGAAAGCACCAACCAAAGCAUGUUGAUUUGUUCUGCUGUCAGACUGAUAGAAAGUUUGGAUUUAACUAGUGCUGCCGGACAGCUUCUUAACGAAACCAUUCAGGCGCAAAACAAGGAGUUUAAAACUGGGAUGAGCACCCUGUUGUUUCUUGUUGGUGCAUGGAGCAAUGCCAUCCUGGAAUGCCUCCAGCAGAACGUUCCUGUUUCAGCAAUAGUGUCGGUGAUGUCUGAGGGGUUGAACUCCUGCUGUGAGAAAGUCCAGUGUCUUCAAAUAUCAGUACAUGAUGUAAAUAAAGAGCUGUGUUCUAGCAGUGUUAGGCCAAACACUUCUAACAGCAAAACUUACGAGAUUGCAUGUGACAGUUUUCUAAAUCCUCAGAUUUUUCUGUGCUUUCAGAAGGAAGUUUCUCCAUCAAAAGAACUUGUUCCAAGAAAUUCUUGUUCCCAUCAAGAAGCUGACAGUAAUUUUAACAAGGGCCUGGUUUCACCUUUGGCUGGCUUUGGAUCAAUAGCUUCCCCUGUCAGAUCAGCAGAUGCUAACAAUGCAUCUGUGAUUUCUGGAAGUGGUGUUACUGCAUCCAGCUGCAAACAAAAAAGAUUAACCCAUAGCAGAUACUUCAGUGCUCUAGCGACAAGCCCUUUCUCGAGUCAGCUCGAUGAUUCUCGGGUAUGCCUCUCAGGACAGUCAGCACAUCCAUGUGAAUGUUACGGUUUAGGACACCUGGCAAGAGCUCUGAGCCAUGGAAAUGAGCCUAACACGAAAUUGCUUAAAAGCAUCGUUGCGUAUCAACACAAGAGAGCAGAAUGUAGUGGCUCUUCCCAAUUCAAUAUUGCAGAAAUUGUGACAUGCUGUUUACCUGGUCUGCCUGAAAGCUAUUCUUGUGUUUGCCCGGGUUUUGUCACUUUAGUAUCACCAGAACAAGCCACAGUUAUCAAACGCUUUCGAGACAAACCCCUUCGGAUUCUGCUGAUGGAUGGUGACCUAACUGAAGAGUAUCGUCACCUAGGUUUUACUAAGCCACGUAACGUAAGGACCGUGUUGGAGCGUCCUGACCUACAGGAAGGCAGACCAGGAGACUUGUGGCUAAAUACUACGUUAGAUAUUCUAAUACGCUCUGAAGUGAACUUAGUUUUGGUCAAAGGGAACGUGUGCGAGAACCUAAUGGAAAGGUGCAUGGCGAACAAGAUUCUGGUGAUCGGUUCCGUGGCUCAGAAGGUGCUGUGUGCCUUCGGGGAGGUCAGCGGAGCCCGGCCCGUGACAUACCUCACCCAGCGGAGCGCCUCCUGCACGGGGAGCGGCGCCCAGCUGGAUCUGUGGACGGCCAGCGACGGGCGUACGAUGGACCUGGGUGAGCUGGUGCCCGUCAGGAUAAAGGUGCGAGGGAUCGCCCUGCUCACGGCCGUGCUUACUACUGCCGUGCCUGCAAAGAUGCAGCUUGUCGAAGACCGGUUCUGGACUUUUGUGUACCGACUGCAUCACGCUCUCAGUGACGGGAAGGUUUUCCUCGGUGGGGGCGCAGUUGAGCUCUUAUGCCUUAGUCACAGUCAGGCGCUGGCAGAGCAGUCUUUAAAGCUAGCAAAUAAAAAGCCUGUGAAAGAAUUUCACGGCCCUUGGCUGGCAGCAUCUUCGGCAGAGUAUAAAUCAGUUGUGCUUCAGGCGUUAGCAAGUGGCUGGAGCCAGUACCUCUCAGCGGUUAUGUGCAACACUGCAAAAGCAGCAUCGCUUUUUGAAGCAUGGACCUUAAUUGAGCAUCACCUCAAAAAAGCAACUGACUGUGGCUCUCCCUCAGCAUAUGUACUGAAAGAGUUUCGAAUGGGUGGUAUGUUCCGAGGUGGUCCUGUUCCCUUCACAGGCAGUGCAGAGGGUUUUAGGGUUUAUGAUAACGUUACAGCCAAGACAGAGGCGUGGCGCAGAGCUCUAGACCUGGUGCUGCUGGUGCUUCAAACAGAUGCUGAAAUUAUCUCGGGUCCCCAAAGUAAUCAGCUGUUAAAUUCACAUGCCUCAAGUGAAUUUAUGUUUUUGUAGGACUUGUAGGAUGUUUUUUUGUUGUUGUUUUGUUUUGUUUUUUAACAAGUCCAUGAGUCGGUGAGUGGAAGAAGUCCAGGUACGAUCUACAUUUCUUCAUCAAGUCAUAGAGCAAGCAUUUAGGUGUGGUUAUGACUUGAGCGUGUGGAACAGUGGAAAUCUGCCUGUGAAACAGUAACGAGGUAGAUCUAAUUUCCCAUUUCUAGAAAUGAGUUAAAUAGCAAACAAAACUCACUUGUGGGCUAACCUCUAACUACAGCUGUGUGUUUCUAAUUAAUGAUAUUGUCUGUAUGGAUAGAUUAAUCCAGUCUGAUGUCUGUAACAUUCAGCAGAGCAGAUGUGCCGUUCUGUUCUCAUUAGAAAGAGGAGUGCUGUCAAGUCGAAAGAGGCAGUAUCUGUCGAGUUGGAGAAAAGUUUGCUUCCUUGGAUAAACUCCUAUUCUGAACAUGUGCUGCCCGUAUAAGGAUAAGGAUUGAGUUAGAUUAUAAUUGUAAUCAUACUCCAAUUACAUCUUCAUUAUUAAUCAAUUGGACAAUUGAUGUGUAAGAGCUCGGCCACACUCUUGAUACACCAAGACGAGAGAGAAAAACGGUUCGGUAGAUCAAAAGAGGCAAAAGGAGCUAGUGAGUGUUAGAGGAUGAACAUGCAAGCUGCCCUCAAGGCAAUGUGAAGUACGGUGUGCACGUGUGGAUUCCUCAGCACCUCAUCUCCAAAGAAGCAACGCAGAAUCGGGUCCUGUGCGCGUCUGGCACGACUCUCAGCGCGGGAAUUACUCCAGCAGCUGCCACAGGCGAUUUCAGCUUCCCUCUUGGCAGAUGCUCCUCCUAGGGUACACAGAGGUCGUUUGUGUCGGGUAUGGUGUGAUGGAAGAGCUAAGUUUUCGCUUUCGACGUGCCUGGGGUAUUGGAAGGCAGAAGAGGUUUUAUAGGGAAGGGCUUGGCUCAGGAAGUGGACAGGAUCUGACUCCCUGCUGAAACCCUGUCCUAGCCAGGUGCCUGGUUUCUCCAGUGUGCUGCUCUGAGUGAAGAAAAUCCUGUGUAGGCAUGGAGGGGGAGCAGCUAGGACGCUACCACUGGUGUGACUCUGCUGAAGUAUUUCGGCACUUGUCAGCUGUAGCUUCUGAGGCUGUCGUGGAGGUUAGCAGCAGAAGGGCUAACGAUGCAGAUUGCACGUACGGGUGUGCUCCGUGAAGGAAAUAACCCCGCAGUACUUACAGAGGUGUGCCCAUCCCUAAGCGGAGUUAACUAAGGGUUCAGGUGUAUGGCACCCUCACUCCGUCACUUCCUACUUGUUGUUGUACUUUUAUUUUCCUGGGAGAACUGGGACAGGCUGUGUCUCAAAUCGCUUCUGCCAUGGUUCCCUCUCUUUCCCAUUGGACUUUCUCUCUACAUGCUCACACAGAAAACCAGCAGUAAGAGUAAAUCGUGUGUAUUUAAGGGGGUAUGGUGCUCGCAGUAGGCUGAAUGCACCACUGGGGCUUGCAGCAGCCUGGUGGGUGCCACCUGCUGCCCCAGCCGGCCAUAGCACCCGUGAGCUGCCCGCUGCCUUGUCCAGCUCCGUGCUGCCUGCCCUGCCCUGUCCGAGUCCGGGAGGCAGGCAGGGGGUGCUGGGCAUCUUCCACCAGAGGUGAAACUCCACAUUCCUUAGCCAGGAAGUGUGGGAUCACGGAUAGCUGGGGCUGGCUUGCAUCAGGCCACGGUGGUUUGGGUGGGUUUGGGGGGAGGCUGUGGAAGCAGACUGUUUGGGGAGCUCUUCCGGGCUGCACUAGCUCCGCUUCGGUUUGUCCUGGAGUGCAUUCAAAUGUGGGGAUUGGGGUGGAAUUUUUUUACCAGAUCAACAUUUCAAAAAUCAGUCUGCUGUCCUGUGUACCUCAUUCAGUGGGAAUAACAUGGUUUGUUCCGUUACUUAGAAACACCACCUGCCUGAUCUGUUCCCUCUUCACAUGCUGGGGUCUGUCCUUAGUGAGACUGUGUAAAUUUGGGAAACUGAUACUGACAAACUGGCUCCAAAAACAGACAAACAAAAAAAUCCACAACUUUUUAAAAUGUUAAUACCAGGUAUAAAUUAUUUUUGUAUGCUUUCUAAGCACCCAUAGCUUCCUCCCUCCCAUCUCUGGAGUUAUUAGUAGCAUCAUCUGAUUGAAUAAGAAAUAAGCUUACUCUGGUGUCUGUGUAUGGAAGCUGACUAACCUCUUUCUUUGCUUUUGAACUUCUUCAUUUACUCCUGCCAGUGUUUGAUUUACAACAAAUGUUCCCAGCGUGCAUUUUGCCCCGUGAUGUUAAGAAUUUUCCUUCUCUAAGGCUGGCCGCAGUGGAUCAAAGUAACUGGGGACCUUGCAGCAGGCUGGCAUCAAGACCUGGCCCUCUGCUGGGAAAAGUAGGUCAGCUUCCCAUAAGCAGCUCAGGCAGGACAUCUAAAAUUGCACCAGCUCUGCCAGCAUUGUACUCAGAUGGGUCUGAGCUUCCACUUAAAGGGUGUGUGUGCUGUUACUGGAGCCUGAAUUGCUGCCAGGAGUGCUGUGCAUAACAGGUACGUUUGGCUGAACCUUUAACAACAGAGACAUUACAAGCCAGACAUUCUGUACAUAUGUACAUAAGGAAAAUUGUCAGGGAAUACUAUAUUGUUCAGUAGUUUUUCUGUCAGGGAAUAUUAAAUUGUUCAGUAGUUUUUCUACAGUGAAUCUAAAACAUGGAUCCGAUCCUGACCAACUAGAAAUGCUCUUUUUUGUGUGUCAGAGCCACAGGCUUUAUGGGAUAUCUUUCCUUUUUGAAGGGAUUAGGGUGUGACAGGAUGUUCAAAAGCAUGGCACUGUGUUAUUCUUACUCUGCCCCUUGCACAAGUUCUUUGUGUUAAUUCUUCACCUUGGGAGUUAAGCUAAGCUUUAAGCUUUUGGUACUUUCCAGAACGUGGUCAUCCCUAGUGCUAUUUCUACAACUCUUUCCUCAAGUUCAGUUGUAGAAAUACAAUUUGCUGAUAGCAUUUUGAAGCAGAAGGACUGUAUUCGAGUUUUAUUCCCCAGUCUCUUGGAUCCUAGAUCAGCAAUCCUCUUGAGAUCAGUUCCACACGAGUACAAUUAGAGCAGUUAGUAUGACACACAUUUGGAAAAUCAAAAAAUCUCAGACUAAAUUCUGCCGCUUGCCACCAGCAUUGCUGCAUCAGCUAUUGUGCAGGUGCAGGACCAGACCAUUUUCCCUGCAGUGUGUCAACAUGAUGUAGAUAGAUCUGCACUCAGUGGAAUUUUUCUUUGCAGAUAAAAAUGCUCCAAAAACUGAUGUUUGUAGGGAUGCAGUUGAAGGGAGAGUGAGGAAAAACUCAGGCAAGUGGACAGACUUGAGACUGGUUUUGAUCUUAAGUGGUGGAGAAAUAAAAGAACACUCUGCUCCAUCUAUUUUGGCUUUCUGUCUGGUUAUUCCAUUAGUAAUACCCGUUUCUUUAGAAUUUGGGAACACCCACAGCGGUGCUAGCACUGUGAUUCUGUUUGUUGCAUUAUGUUUCUGAAAGCCAUGUUAUUUUUGCUGUUUCAAUUCUGAAAGCUGCAGUUGGUGUUAGUGUUUGUGGCUGUCCAUGCAUGCAGGUUUCGCAGAUUCUGCGCUGUGUAUUGCACAGUGCCCUGCAGAGCUGGAACUGUUACGUGCUUUACAGUAGGCCCUGAGGACAUAAUCAGAGCUGGAACCUCUGGCAAAUACUUGCAAUACUUGCAGAUACAUCAGGGAGUAGAGAGGAGCGUGUAAGCAGAGGAGCAAUGUCUGAGGCACAACUGCACUUCUGUUCCCCUGCAAGUACUCCCUUUCCGGGCAUGUAGCGUGCAUUUCAAGACUUAGCAGAGGAACAGCAAUGAAGUCAAUAGUCACGUGUCUACAGUGCUGAGUGGCUUCUGAAAAGCCAGUUUUUCUUAGAAGGGAGUUUCUAGCUUUAGCUUUUCAAAGACAUUGUCAGGGUAAACACUAAGCACAGUGAAGAACUAAUGUGUGAUCUGUAUGAGCCAAGCGCUGGCCACAGCGUUCACCAUCUCCUUACAUUAAUGCCUUUGAGUUCAAAGCACUGAAUCCCCCUCAGAGGACACGAUGAGGAACAUCCUGAGCAGUGAAGAGGGAUGUUACAUAAUAGACCGGUGGUUUGGCAGGACCAUGUAGGAGAGUGGUUAGUGAGUGCAUAGAUUUACAGGCUGAAACCCUGCAGAACAGCUGCAGCAGUCCUUAGAGCAAAGUGGGGAUGUACAGUGGGAUUCAGGGGAACAGGUGCUUCCCAGAGUGAGUGGAUUAAAUAGAUCCAUCACUUCUCCCUGCACAUCAGGCCCCAGGUGGCCCCAGCUUUGUGUUGUGGUUGGUCUGCCCCAGUGUUUGCCAGCACCGUCCUUGGAAGCCGCGUGUUCAUGUGUCCUUCUCCUUCGGGACCUGCGAUAUAGGGGUCAUGCUGCCGGACAGCUUGCUCCACUGAAGGCACAGGAAAACUGCAACGUGUUUUUUCACUGAUGGCCACGAUUCCUGCAUGGCAGCCAGCUCUUGCAGUGGGAAGGUACCCGAGAUGUUGUUUUCGAUAGUGGCAUGUAGGUAGAACAGAGUAAUGAGAGCUGAGGUUGCUGUAUUGUACAGAGAUGUUGCACCACUGAGUUAAAGGCUGCUGUUCACAGAGCUGCACCUUUAGGGAGGAUGAUUCUAUUAAAUGCUUAGUUGAAAGGUAACUGGAUUGCUGGCUGCCUGAUGUCUCUACAAAAUACACGUCUUCCUUCAGAUUGGGAAAUGUACCUCUAGUGAGUGGUGAAUAGACACCUGUAUUAUUAUUAUUAUUAUUAUUAUUAUUAUUUAAUGUGCGCUAAUAGAUUUCAUGGUACAUAUACUCUGCUUAUUAAAUCUAAUAUACUGUAAAAAGGCUCCCAGGUAGGUCUACCCUCCAGGGUCAGGUAGGAAAUACUGCUACAGCAUAGGGUGCAGGUCAGUAGUGUCACAUUAGAGCUGUUUCAGGGGAUGUAACAAGGAUAUGAGACAUGUUUGAGAGGGAUUCUUGCGUGCUUUUCAGAGGGAUGGAAGGAAAGGCUGGGCCAUGAUCAUGCACAGAUGGCGAAUGAGCACGUGUGAAGGGGAGGAAUCAAGU